CCUACGGGGGGCAGCAGUGAGGAAUAUUGGUCAAUGGGCGCAAGCCUGAACCAGCCAAGUCGCGUGAGGGAUGACGGUCCUAUGGAUUGUAAACCUCUUUUGUCGGGGAGCAAGGCCCGCCACGUGUGGCGGGAAGGAGAGUACCCGAAGAAAAAGCAUCGGCUAACUCCGUGCCAGCAGCCGCGGUAAUACGGAGGAUGCGAGCGUUAUCCGGAUUUAUUGGGUUUAAAGGGUGCGUAGGCGGAAGGUUAAGUCAGCGGUAAAAUGUCGGUGCUCAACACCGGCCUGCCGUUGAAACUGGUCUUCUUGAGUGAGCGAGAAGUAUGCGGAAUGCGUGGUGUAGCGGUGAAAUGCAUAGAUAUCACGCAGAACUCCGAUUGCGAAGGCAGCAUACCGGCGCUCAACUGACGCUGAGGCACGAAAGCGUGGGGAUCGAACAGGAUUAGAUAGCCCGGUAGUC
rnacentral:rRNA from 1 species